rnacentral:rRNA from 1 species
AUUGAACGCUGGCGGCAUGCCUUACACAUGCAAGUCGAACGGUAACAGGUUAAGCUGACGAGUGGCGAACGGGUGAGUAAUGUAUCGGAACGUGCCCAGUCGUGGGGGAUAACUACUCGAAAGAGCAGCUAAUACCGCAUACGACCUGAGGGUGAAAGCGGGGGGUCGCAAGACCUCGCGCGAUUGGAACGGCCGAUAUCAGAUUAGGUAGUUGGUGGGGUAAAGGCCUACCAAGCCUACGAUCUGUAGCUGGUCUGAGAGGACGACCAGCCACACUGGGACUGAGACACGGCCCAGACUCCUACGGGAGGCAGCAGUGGGGAAUCUUGCGCAAUGCGCGAAAGCGUGACGCAGCAACGCCGCGUGAGGGAAGACGGCUUUCGGGUUGUAAACCUCUUUCAGUUGGGACGAAGCCCAGACGGUGAACAGCCGUGCUGGGUGACGGUACCUUCAGAAGAAGCCCCGGCUAACUACGUGCCAGCAGCCGCGGUAAAAC